rnacentral:rRNA from 1 species
GUGGGGAAUCUUGCGCAAUGGGCGAAAGCCUGACGCAGCCAUGCCGCGUGAAUGAUGAAGGUCUUAGGAUUGUAAAAUUCUUUCACCGGGGACGAUAAUGACGGUACCCGGAGAAGAAGCUCCGGCUAACUUCGUGCCAGCAGCCGCGGUAAUACGAAGGGGGCUAGCGUUGCUCGGAAUUACUGGGCGUAAAGGGCGCGUAGGCGGACAGCUUAGUCAGAGGUGAAAGCCCAGGGCUCAACCUUGGAAUUGCCUUUGAUACUGGCUGUCUUGAGUUUGGGAGAGGUGAGUGGAACUCCGAGUGUAGAGGUGAAAUUCGUAGAUAUUCGGAAGAACACAAGUGGCGAAGGGGACUCACUGGCCCAAUACUGACGCUGAGGCGCGAAAGCGUGGGGAGCAAACAGGAUUAGAUACCCGAGUAGUCC